AUACCGCGUGAGGGAGGAAGGCUCUUGGGUUGUAAACCUCUUUUCUCAGGGAAGAAUGAUGACGGUACCUGAGGAAUAAGCAUCGGCUAACUCCGUGCCAGCAGCCGCGGUAAUACGGAGGAUGCAAGCGUUAUCCGGAAUGAUUGGGCGUAAAGCGUCCGCAGGUGGCAAUGUAAGUCUGCUGUCAAAGCGUCUGGCUCAACCAGAUAAAGGCAGUGGAAACUACAUAGCUAGAGUAAGGUAGGGGUAGAGGGAAUUCCUGGUGUAGCGGUGAAAUGCGUAGAGAUCAGGAAGAACACCGGUGGCGAAAGCGCUCUGCUGGACCUUAACUGACACUGAGGGACGAAAGCUAGGGGAGCGAAUGGGAUUAGAUACCCCAGUAGUCAA
rnacentral:rRNA from 1 species